GGGAGUGAAGGGGUUAAGAGAAGUUACAGUAACUCUGUCUCUGUCCAGAGCUCGGCUUCCUCUAAGUCGUUAAACCGGAAGCCGAAACUUCAACAAGAAAACGACUGGAGGCAACAAAGCAAAGCCCCUGAAUCCAGGAGAGCAGAGGACACCGAAUCCAGGGGAGCAGAGGACACCGAAUCCAGGGGACCAGAGGACACCGAAUCCAGGGGAGCAGAGGACACCGAAUCCAGGGGACCAGAGGACACCGAAUCCAGGGGACCAGAGGACACCGAAUUCAGGGGGCCAGAGGACACAGAAUCCAGGGGACCAGAGGACACCGAAUCCAGGGGAGCAGAGGACACCGAAUCCAGGGGACCAGAGGACACCGAAUCCAGGGGACCAGAGGACACCGAAUCCAGGGGACCAGAGGACACCGAAUCCAGGGGACCAGAGGACACCGAAUCCAGGGGAGCAGAGGACACCAAAUCCAGGGGAGCAGAGGACACCUAAUCCAGGGGAGCAGAGGACACCGAAUCCAGGGGAGCAGAGAUAACCGCAACCACAUCUAACUGUAAGGGGGCGACACGGAUAAUUUCCUAUGAUGUACCAUUCACUAAACCUCCUGUUUCUCACUUCGGUGUCUGUGUUUCUGGAUUUUGCCGGGAUCUGUCCAGAUCAGCAUGUAGAAGAUGGAGUCCAGAUUUCUAGUCUAAUAAGUUGGAAGAAAAGCAAGAAAGUUUCAGGAGGACAAACGAGUUCGGACAAGUACGACUUCCUGCCAUCGAUGAAAUGCAAGCAUCAGUUACUGGAUUUUAAUCGCAAUUCAUUUGACGACCAAUACAUUGGAUGCUCGGAUCAAUAUGAGACAGAUCUCAUGCCAAAAAUUUUAACUCGGGAGAAAUCCUUCAACUUGGCCUUUGGUUUGGCAUGGGACCGGGCAGCAGUACAGUGGAACAAAAUGAAGAGAACAGUGCAUCUUCCUGGUGAGUUUAGGGAUGAGUUUGGGAUAGCGAUCAUCGUCUACACCACAGACUGGCCAGAGAGCAGUCCAAUCUAUAAAGAACUCAAUGGGAAUGUGACCGUGGCUGGAAAGUCCAGAGGACACUACAUGGAGAACUUCCACUAUAAGGCUUUACACUUCUACUUGACUCGAGCCUUGCAAGUGCUAAGGAAGAACUCAAAAAGACAAACAAGAACUUAUAAAGUUUACAGGGGCACAGACAAGUCUCUGCAGGUAUCAGAGGAGGUGGAUCUGAGGUUUGGGAGAUUCACCUCUUCCUCUCGGAAUAUAGAAGUUGCUAAAGAAUAUUCAGAGGGAUUGUUCUUCGAGAUGACAACCUGCUUUGGAGUUGACAUCCACAGAAUCUCCUUCUUCCCAAAAGAGCAGGAAGUCUUGAUACCGGUGGCUGAGAAGUUUCGAUUUGUGGAAAAACAAGGGAACACUUAUGUUUUAGACAGCACAUGUGAAGUGUGCAGUCACUUCAACUGUACGUAUUUUGGAGACGAGAAACGGGAUUUCCCUGUGUGCAGUUUGGACUGUCCCUGUCGGAGUCUGAACCCGCAGUACUGUGUGUCUGAAGAUCAGCUGAACGCUCUCUCUGUCAGACGUUCUGUCACAUCAACAUACAAGCUCACAAUACAUAUGGCUUCUCUGGUUAGGUAGUGCCUAUGACACGUCAAUAUCGUCCCUCCUGAUUGGCUUAGGCUGACUGCAUGGGAUUAUGGGCAAGUCUACCGGCCGGGUGCCCAUCUUAGGUCCACUUCCCUGAAGAAAGCGCUCAGGAGGAAUCUUCUUAUACAAUAUGUGACCUGAGAUGUCAGUGCCAAGAAGACUCGUAAGUGGUGAGGAUCCACCGUGGAGAGAAGAAAUGGAAAUUAUGAAACAGGGAAGACCCAGCGAGCAAGUCUGGAUCACCAAAGACACAAAGACCCUAAAAGUAGUUGAUUUGUAACAGGGGACACGUGUUUGAGGCUGAACGGGCCCCCUGACACUGCAAUGACUCAGGCCCCUAUUGUGUGCAGCAUAUGAGGGACCUAUCACUGGUCACACUGACUAGAGCAUGAUUCACGGUGCACUGCUGGGGUAGAUGUAUGUGUGCCAGAUUUCUGCCCCUGCAUUCCAGGAAGCAGUAAGAGCUCUGACCUCACCGAAUGGAUGCUCAAAAAUAUCAUAAAGUAGUAAUCAUGGGGGUCAGGGAGGGAUCUACAAUGCCUGUCAUUCUUCGAAUUGAAGCCUAGCCUCCCCUGAUAACAGAAAGCAAUAGUUUGUAUUUCCCUGCAUUACCAGUGGAAGGAAGAAGGCAGCGGGCCAAGUCAGAAAGCAGAUGAAGACUGACACCUAGUGGUAAUGCAGGGUAACUGCAUCAUGUAAUAAAGUGCUUCAACAAUAAAAUGAUUAUACAUUUU